GGCAAGGAAACCAAAUGGGUGUGGUCCCAGCUAAGCCCAGCCACAUCUCUGCAGGGUGCUGACUGCUCUGGGAGGAGGAAAGCAUGAAACAGGAACAAUAGUUCUGUGUCCUUUGCAUGAGUAACAGAUGUUUUGAAAGAGCUGGAAGAGAUCAAGGGAGCCCUUAUCUGCAUAUGAUGUUCACAAAGGGCCUGCUGGAACAUCCAAGUCCAGUCUGCACUUGUGAAGCACCUGCUCUGCAGACUGUCAGGUGCAUUACAGCUUGUAUGGCUCUAUGGUUCUUCUGUAGACAAUUGCCAUCUGCGCUUAGAGGCAUUAUUAUCUUUACAACAGAAGCCAAGGUGGCACUGGGGACAGACGUGCUUUACAGGGGAAAAAGAAGUGCUUUACAGGGGAUAUUUGCACCAAAUACCCUACUUCCAUGGGCUUGGUCCGCUUCAUAUGGGGAAAGAGUAUCAGCCUUUCUUGUACUACUGGAGUAAUGGGACUAAUUUUUAAGUAGCCUAGAACACCAAAUCACACCUCCAUAAUUGAAGAUAGAACAAAACUUUAAAACAGUGUUUCAUGCAAACAGGUCUUGCAUAAAUGUAACUAACUCAUAUAUUAAUUAAACAAACAAAGCUGUGUCAUAGAAGCAGACAGUAGCCUGAUUGCAAAUGCUUGCAUUCAGCUGUGAGUUUCUUGUUCUUUCUUAUUGAUAUUCUCAGUAAAUUGCUACACUUCUAUUAUGUUAAGAGCAUCGAUUUAGUGGGUGUCCCCUGCCAGUCAUGCACUUCUGAGAUAUGUCAAUGUAUUUCAUGUGGUGUUGUAAAAGAUGUCAGAGAGGGGGUUGUGAAAUGGGAAUCUGGUAUUAUCCUCAGGAGCACUGUGCAAAGAAGCAGUUACUGGCCUGGUUUUU
rnacentral:lncRNA from 1 species